rnacentral:rRNA from 1 species
CGAGUGAAGCGGCAAAAGCUCAAAUUUGAAAUCUGGUACCUUUGGUGCCCGAGUUGUAAUUUGGAGAGUACCACUUUGGGACUGUACUUUGCCUAUGUUCCUUGGAACAGGACGUCAUGGAGGGUGAGAAUCCCGUGUGGCGAGGGUGUCAGUUCUUUGUAAAGGGUGCUCGAAGAGUCGAGUUGUUUGGGAAUGCAGCUCUAAGUGGGUGGUAAAUUCCAUCUAAAGCUAAAUACAGGCGAGAGACCGAUAGCGAACAAGUACAGUGAUGGAAAGAUGAAAAGAACUUUGAAAAGAGAGUGAAAAAGUACGUGAAAUUGUUGAAAGGGAAGGGCAUUUGAUCAGACAUGGUGUUUUGCGCCCCUUGCCUCUCGUGGGCUUGGGACUCUCGCAGCUCACUGGGCCAGCAUCGGUUUUGGCGGCCGGAAAAAACCUAGGGAAUGUGGCUCUGCGCCUCGGUGUAGAGUGUUAUAGCCCUGGGGAAUACGGCCAGCCGGGACCGAGGACUGCGAUACUUGUUAUCUAGGAUGCUGGCAUAAUGGUUAUAUGCCGCCCGUCUU